GAGUGGUGUUUGGUUUGUUACGUGUGGUUGGCUGCGGCGUUUGCAACAACUUCCAUGCUUUCAGGCCUCUUCAGUUGUGCGGCAAGGCUUGUAUCGCCUUGAGCGUACUGUGGGUUUUCUGUGUUGGCUACCUAAUCAACGGUAUCAGUUGGAUUGAUCAAAGUUUGAUUUCGUCUUCCGUCGCAUUCGCGGCGUGAGGUGAACCUCGAUGCGGUCUCUUUGAUCCACCUCGUUGAAGCACAUGCUUCGGCGUUGUGGCACAUUGAGCAUUGCUUGGUCUCUUGUAUACGGAACAUAUAGUGGGCGUGGAUCUAACGAUUCUCGUUUGCCCUCAUAUUAGCGUAACGCUUCUCUAACACGACUUGCGCCACGUUUUAGCUCGUAC
rnacentral:misc_RNA from 1 species